AAUAGAUACCCGGGUAGUCCACGCCGUAAACGAUGAGUGCUAAGUGUUGGGGGGUUUCCGCCCCUCAGUGCUGCAGCUAACGCAUUAAGCACUCCGCCUGGGGAGUACGGCCGCAAGGCUGAAACUCAAAGGAAUUGACGGGGGCCCGCACAAGCGGUGGAGCAUGUGGUUUAAUUCGAAGCAACGCGAAGAACCUUACCAGGUCUUGACAUCCCGCUGCCCGGUAUAGAGAUAUAUCUUUCCCUUCGGGGACAGCGGUGACAGGUGGUGCAUGGUUGUCGUCAGCUCGUGUCGUGAGAUGUUGGGUUAAGUCCCGCAACGAGCGCAACCCUUGAUCUUAGUUGCCAGCAUUUAGUUGGGCUACUCUAAGGUGACUGCCGGUGACAAACCGGAGAAGGUGGGAUGACGUCAAAUCAUCAUGCCCCUUAUGACCUGGGCUACACACGUGCUACAAUGGAUGGUACAAAGGGCUGCAAGACCGCGAGGUUUAGCCAAUCCCAUAAAACCAUUCUCAGUUCGAUGUCAGG
rnacentral:rRNA from 1 species